UACAGAGGGGGCUAGCGUUGUUCGGAAUUACUGGGCGUAAAGGGCGCGUAGGUGGCCUGUUAAGUCGAACGUGAAAUCCCCGGGCUCAACCCGGGAACUGCGUCCGAGACUGGCAGGCUCGAAUCCGGGAGAGGGAUGUGGAAUUCCAGGUGUAGCGGUGAAAUGCGUAGAUAUCCGAAGGAACAUCAGUGGCGAAAGCGGCUUCCUGGACCAGAACUGACGAUCAGGCACGAAAGCGUGGGGAGCAAACAGG
rnacentral:rRNA from 1 species